AAAAGCUUGAAUAGUUAAUUAGUUUUAAUCCUUUUUUAUUGUGAUUUGCACUCAAGUUUAUGUCUCGCUCCGAACGGCCUAGUUUGAGCCCCCCCUUUAAUUAUGAACGUCGUAAAAGGGGCGACCUUAAUAGAAUUCGAAGUCGACAUGAAUGUAAAUCAUCUGAUUUAGAUAAUAACUAUAAAGGAAAAAGUAAAAGCCCUCGUGAUCGUGAGCAUAACCUGAAUCCUGUCAAAAACUCUUCUUAUGGAAGUGAUAAAAAUAGAAGUAGUUUAGGAAUUCGCGGCACUUCACCACACUCUUCCUCCUCUUCCUCCUCUUCCUCUUCCGUUGAUUAUGAUGAUCUUUCUCCAUACAUUACCCCUGAGAACUCGCCAGUUAGUACUAUAAUAAGUGAAACCUUCUCAGACACUGAAAGCUCAGAUUCUCCAGUGAGAAAAAGAAAGUCUUCUUCAUCCAAUAGAAAGAGUAGUAAACUCUUAAAAAAGAAAUUAAAAAAGAAAGAAAAGAAAAAGAAAUUUAAAAAAACAUUAAAGCGUUCUAGGGAAAAUGAAAAAAUUAGUGCGAUCACUGGAAAGAAAAUUAAAAUGAAAGUCAAAAAAACAGCAGCCGAUCGUGCAGCCGAUAAAAAUAGAUCAGAACUGCUAAAAUUUUACAACGAAGCCACUUAAAUAUUAUUUUAAGGAUAAAA